UCCAGUCUACUGUUGGCUUACUGCUUGCCCACCACCUUGCUGAAAUCCAUCCUUCCUGGUACUUCUAACACCAGUCCUCUCCAGCUGCUCCAGGCAGUGAGCCAGCUGACUGCUUUAUAAUCACACCAUCUACCUCCUUGAAUCACGAAGAUAUGUCAUCUUUUCUGCUACUGCUCUGUGGAUGAAUCCUUAUCCUGUCCAUAAGGCACAUGGAUACAUGGACAGAUGGAUUGCCACUCCAGUGGAUGUCUUGUCCUCAGAGCUGUUGUCAUGGAAACAGUCCUUGAUCACCUUCAGGUCCAACUUUAUGGGAAGGACAGCAGGUUCUAUCCACCACAGCAGCCGUAGCAUGAAUUCAGCAACAGGAUACCACAAAGCAGCUUGGAUGGACUUCAGGGUGAAGAUCAAGGGAGGUAAGAUACCCUGUCAUCAGUAACUGGAGACUGAGAUCCAAAGCAAGAAGCUACUGCUACAGGUAU